GACGAACGCUGGCGGCGUGCUUAACACAUGCAAGUCGAACGGAAAGGCCCCUUUGGGGGUCCUCGAGUGGCGAACGGGUGAGUAACACGUGAGUAACCUGCCCUUGACUUCGGGAUAACUUCAGGAAACUGGGGCUAAUACCGGAUAGGAAUCCUUGCUGCAUGGUGGGGGUUGGAAAGCUUCGGCGGUUUUGGAUGGACUCGCGGCUUAUCAGCUUGUUGGUGGGGUAGUGGCUUACCAAGGCUUUGACGGGUAGCCGGCCUGAGAGGGCGACCGGCCACAUUGGGACUGAGAUACGGCCCAGACUCCUACGGGAGGCAGCAGUGGGGAAUAUUGCACAAUGGGCGGAAGCCUGAUGCAGAAACGCCGCGGGCGGGAUGACGGCCUUCGGGUUGUAAACCGCUUUCAGCAGGGGCGAAGCUUGUGGUGACGGUACCUGCAGAAGAAGCACCGGCUAACUACGUG
rnacentral:rRNA from 1 species